CCACAUCACCAUACGAUCACCGAAGUUAAGCAACGUCUAGCUUGGUUAGUGCCUAGAUGGGUGACCGCUUGGGAAUAACAGGUGUCGUAA